GAUGAACGCUGGCGGCGUGCCUAAUACAUGCAAGUCGAGCGAACGGACGAGAAGCUUGCUUCUCUGAUGUUAGCGGCGGACGGGUGAGUAACACGUGGAUAACCUACCUAUAAGACUGGGAUAACUUCGGGAAACCGGAGCUAAUACCGGAUAAUAUUUUGAACCGCAUGGGUCAAAAGUGAAAGACGGUCUUGCUGUCACUUAUAGAUGGAUCCGCGCUGCAUUAGCGAGUUGGUACGGUAACGGCUUACCAAGGCAACGAUGCAUAGCCGACCUGAGAGGGUGGUCGCCCACAUUGGAAGUGGGCCACGGUCCAGACUCCUACGGGAGGGAGCAGUAGGGAAUCUUCCGCAAUGGGCGAAAGCCUGACGGAGCGACGCCGCGUGAGUGAUGAAGGUCUUCGGAUCGUAAAACUCUGUUAUUAGGGAAGAACAUAUGUGUAAGUAACUGUGCACAUCUUGACGGUACCUAAUCAGAAAGCCACGGCUAACUACGUG
rnacentral:rRNA from 1 species